rnacentral:lncRNA from 1 species
GAUUUUGUUGGAGCCAGGAUUACUCUCAUCUAAUUACAGAAAGUCUGGGCCAGUUGCUGGAUUAUAUUGUGGAAUGUGUUGUGACUGAUGCAAAUAUCCACAGGCAAUUCUUCUGUAAAAGGCUGGCCUAGAUACAGGGAAAUUCCUAAGUAACUUGCUAAAGAGUCCCUGUUUUUGUGAGCCUGUCAAAGGAGGCGACAGUGGUCUUCGCUGGUCUGGUAGUGCUGCUGACCCUGGGCUGUGGCACUGCUGGCUGGAGAGAGCUUUAGUCUAGAAAAGGCCUGAGCUGCAGAAUCUGGGACAGGAUUCAACUCACAUCACCCGAAUUUGGGGUUGAAUGUGAUCAAAUUAGAGCACUGCCAUCCUCUGACUGGCAGCAAAUCAAAUGAGUUCUUUGGGCUUUUUUCCUUUGCCACAAAGAACAACAGGAACAAAUGCUGGGAGAGGAGAGAAAGAAGUGACAUCAUCAGUGGAAAAGUUUUUUUUUUUUUUCCUGCCUGAAGGACUGUUUUGAUUUCCAACUACAUCUCAGGUAAGAAUGAAACAUGAUAUUAAAUUUAAUGCACCAGCUGAGUGCAAAUGGAAAUACUUGCAGUUGAAGAGAGGAAGAGAACACUAUGCUACAUUUUUGAUAUCUUUCUGAUAUUUGUAGAGACCAAGCAGCUCCUGGCCUAGCUUCAAGUUGCUGAAACAUUGGUCCAGUAAUUUUAAUUGUCUCAGUCUCGGUGGGACCAUGGCAGUGGCUGAGGUUAUAAGGAAUACUCUGUAAGCUUCCACUACUUCCACCCUCUGUACUCUAGCCCUUCCCCUAAACCCCAUCUUUCCUUUUCUGUGGUAUGGGAGAGCUGGUGAUUUGAAGCCAGCUACAUAUGCUUUAUGUUUCCUGAAGAUUAAAACCCAUGUGUAAUACUCCAUAGUCUGUCAACAGCCAGCUUGGGAAAGAGACCAAGGACUAGAAAGCCAAAACCAGACUGUUAGAUCAAUCAUGGCCAAGAUGUGCUUCUCACUUAUAAUAGCUAAAAGAAAACCAGCCAGGCAAGAAGUUUGUCCUUUGCAAUGUUGGAAGACUGCUGCCCCCCAUCCUGUGUCUGAUUCUCUGUGUGUCAGACUAUACACAAAUCUGCAAGAGAAGAUAUUGCUUGUGUGUUUAAAAUACUUCUGCCAUCAGACAGGGAGAAGACUUCUGUCUACACUCCUGCUCUGGUUGUGCUGA